UGGGGAAUAUUGCACAAUGGGCGCAAGCCUGAUGCAGCGACGCCGCGUGAGGGAUGAAGGCCUUCGGGUUGUAAACCUCUUUCAGCAGGGAAGAAGCGCAAGUGACGGUACCUGCAGAAGAAGCGCCGGCUAACUACGUGCCAGCAGCCGCGGUAAUACGUAGGGCGCAAGCGUUGUCCGGAAUUAUUGGGCGUAAAGAGCUCGUAGGCGGUUUGUCGCGUCUGCUGUGAAAACUCGAGGCUCAACCUCGGGCUUGCAGUGGGUACGGGCAGACUAGAGUGCGGUAGGGGAGACUGGAAUUCCUGGUGUAGCGGUGGAAUGCGCAGAUAUCAGGAGGAACACCGAUGGCGAAGGCAGGUCUCUGGGCCGCAACUGACGCUGAGGAGCGAAGGCAUGGGGAGCGAACAGGAUUAGAUACCCUGGUAGUCCAUGCCGUAAACGUUGGGCACUAGGUGUGGGGCUCAUUCCACGAGUUCCGUGCCGCAGCAAACGCAUUAAGUGCCCCGCCUGGGGAGUACGGCCGCAAGGCUAAAACUCAAAGAAAUUGACGGGGGCCCGCACAAGCGGCGGAGCAUGCGGAUUAAUUCGAUGCAACGCGAAGAACCUUACCAAGGCUUGACAUACACCGGGAACUUCCAGAGAUGGUUGCCCCGCAAGGUCGGUGUACAGGUGGUGCAUGGUUGUCGUUAGCUCGUGUCGUGAGAUGUUGGGUUAAGUCCCGCAACGAGCGCAACCCUCGUCCUAUGUUGCCAGCGGGUCAUGCCGGGGACUCAUAGGAGACUGCCGGGGUCAACUCGGAGGAAGG
rnacentral:rRNA from 1 species